rnacentral:rRNA from 1 species
AUGAGAUUAAACAAAAGCUAUCACAAGCUCCUGUCACUACCUGAUUUCAACAAGACUUUUGAGUUGGAGUGUGAUGCAAGUGGAGUAGGCAUUGGAGCUGUCCUAUCUCAAGAAAGGAAGCCCAUUGCUUUCUUUAGUGAGAAGUUAAGUGAAGCUAGACAGAAAUGGAGUACCUAUCAGCAAGAAUUAUACGCCGUUUUCAGAGCGUUGAAAACUUGGGAAGUCUAUUUGCUGCCUAAAGAGUUCAUUGUUUAUAGCGACCAUCAAUCCUUGAAGCAUUUUAGAAAUCAAAAGCAUGUUGACCGCAUGCUAGCAAGAUGGGCAGCAUAUCUUGAGAGGUUUAACUAUCUCAUCGUGCAUAAAUCUGGAAUAACUAACAGAGUGGCCGAUGCUUUGAGUCGUCGUGCAUGCCUCUUGACUUCUUUUGAAGCUGAACUUCCGGGCAUGGGUCAAAUAAAGGAGUUGUAUGAGGGUGACGAAGACUUUGGCCAUGUUUGGGUAAAGCACGCAAGGGGCCAACCAUUAGGUGAUGACUAUUUGAUGCAAGAUGGAUAUCUCUUCAAAAAUGAUCGUUUGUGCAUUCCAAGAAGUUCUCUACGUGACAAGCUGGUUAGAGAGCUCCAUUCAAGUGAUCUUAGUGGCCAUGUUGGACGGGACAAGACUAUCGCUAACCUGGAAGCUCGCUACUUUUGGCCACAACUAAAGAGAGAUGCUGGAAAGUUCGUUCAACGGUGCCCCGUAUGUCAGACCUGCAAAGGCCAAGUCUAG